rnacentral:rRNA from 1 species
CCUACGGGAGGCUGCAGUGAGGAAUAUUGGUCAAUGGACGAGAGUCUGAACCAGCCACGUAGCGUGAAGGAUGACUGCCCUAUGGGUUGUAAACUUCUUUUUUGGGAAUAAAAUGUUCCACGUGUGGGAUUUUGUAUGUAGCAUAUGAAUAAGGAUCGGCUAACUCCGUGCCAGCAGCCGCGGUAAUACGGAGGAUCCGAGCGUUAUCCGGAUGUAUUGGGUUUAAAGCGAGCGUAGGUGGAUUGGUAAGUCAGUUGUGAAAGUGUGCGGCUUAACCGUAAAAUUGCAGUUGAAACUGGCAGUCUUGAGUACAGUAGAGGUAGGCGGAAUUCUUGGUGUAGCGGUGAAAUGCGUAGAUAUCACGAAGAACUCCGAUUGCGAAGGCAGUCCACUGGACUGCAACUGACGCUGAGGCGCGAAAGUGUGGGUAGCAAACAGGAUUAGAUACCCCAGUAGUC